AGCCCUCAUCGCUCUCAUCAGAGGAGGGAGUAUCCUAAAGUGCUAGACGAUAUGAAAGGAAGAAAGAGAGAAAAGGGUGUUCCUUUCAGGUACACAGCAACAGCUCGACCGUGAGGCAGGCGAUAACAGGCUAUAAAUAGAGCUGUCGAGAGAUGACGUAAUGAAUUGACUUCCUUGACCUGCUGUGAACCUGACACGUCUCGUGACGCACUGUCAUACCCUACAUUGAAGUCUCAAGGUACAAAGUCUACAGGAAGCCGUCAAGUCAGAAGCUAUCAGGUUACGACGAUGUGUUGACGACGAUGUCAAUGAUGAAGACACUAAAGGUGAAGACUAGGUUUAUGGAUUACAUGUAUGCCGCAUGUUCAUGCACGUGAAGCC